GAGUUUGAUCCUGGCUCAGAUUGAACGCUGGCGGCAUGCUUUACACAUGCAAGUCGAACGGUAACAGGCCGCAAGGUGCUGACGAGUGGCGAACGGGUGAGUAAUGCAUCGGAACGUGCCCAAUCGUGGGGGAUAACGCAGCGAAAGCUGUGCUAAUACCGCAUACGAUCUACGGAUGAAAGCGGGGGACUCAGCAAUGGGCCUCGCGCGAUUGGAGCGGCCGAUGUCAGAUUAGGUAGUUGGUGGGGUAAAGGCUCACCAAGCCAACGAUCUGUAGCUGGUCUGAGAGGACGACCAGCCACACUGGAACUGAGACACGGUCCAGACUCCUACGGGAGGCAGCAGUGGGGAAUUUUGGACAAUGGGCGCAAGCCUGAUCCAGCAAUGCCGCGUGCAGGAAGAAGGCCUUCGGGUUGUAAACUGCUUUUGUACGGAACGAAAAGGCUCUGGUUAAUACCUGGGGUUCAUGACGGUACCGUAAGAAUAAGCACCGGCUAACUACGUGCCAGCAGCCGCGGUAAUACGUAGGGUGCGAGCGUUAAUCGGAAUUACUGGGCGUAAAGCGUGCGCAGGCGGUUUUGUAAGACAGUCGUGAAAUCCCCGG
rnacentral:rRNA from 1 species